AUUGAACGCUGGCGGCAGGCCUAACACAUGCAAGUCGAGCGAGCGGCGGACGGGUGAGUAAUGUCUGGGAAACUGCCUGAUGGAGGGGGAUAACUACUGGAAACGGUAGCUAAUACCGCAUACCAUCGGAUGUGCCCAGAUGGGAUUAGCUAGUGGGUGGGGGAACGGCUCACCGAGGCGACGAUCCCUAGCUGGGCUGAGAGGAUGACCAGCCACACUGGAACGGAGACACGGUCCAGACUCCGACGGGAGGCAGCGGUGGGGAAGAUUGCACAAUGGGCGCAAGCCUGAUGCAGCCAGGCCGGGUGUAUGAAGAAGGCCUUCGGGUUGUAAAGUACUUUCAGCGAGGAGGCGUUACUCGCAGAAGAAGCACCGGCUAACUCCGGGCCAGCAGCCGCGGUAAUUC
rnacentral:rRNA from 1 species